rnacentral:rRNA from 1 species
UACGAAGGGUGCUAGCGUUGUUCGGAAUUACUGGGCGUAAAGAGCGCGUAGGCGGUUGUACUAGUCAGGGGUGAAAUCCCAGAGCUUAACUCUGGAACUGCCUUUGAAACUGUGCAGCUGGAGUGUGUGAGGGGAUAGCGGAAUUCCUAAUGUAGAGGUGAAAUUCGUAGAUAUUAGGAGGAACACCGGUGGCGAAGGCGGCUAUCUGGCACACAACUGACGCUGAGGCGCGAAAGCGUGGGGAGCGAACAGG